UACGAAGGGGGCUAGCGUUGUUCGGAAUUACUGGGCGUAAAGCGCGCGCAGGCGGUCUUCCAAGUCAGUGGUGAAAGCCCGGAGCUCAACUCCGGAACUGCCAUUGAGACUGUAAGACUUGAGGAUGAGAGAGGUGAGUGGAAUUCCCAGUGUAGAGGUGAAAUUCGUAGAUAUUGGGAAGAACACCGGUGGCGAAGGCGGCUCACUGGCUCAUUUCUGACGCUCAGGCGCGACAGCGUGGGGAUCAAACAGG
rnacentral:rRNA from 1 species